GUUCGCAGCCUGGGCCCCGCCGCCAGCCGCUGCUCGGAGGGAGCGAGCGAGAAAGGGGAGCCGGCGCAGCUCGCUGCCCUGUUCCAGAACUCAGAAUUUGAGAGGCGAGAGUUCGGUAAGCCGUGCGACCAGACGACCGAGGACGCGCGCAGAGAAACCCCCGCCGUCCGAGGAGAGGCGUCCUGGGGUUCCGUCCCAAGGUGGAGGUCCCCCCGAGCGGUUGCUGAUUGAAAGGGGAGUGUGGAAGCGCC
rnacentral:lncRNA from 1 species